UACGUAGGGGGCAAGCGUUGUUCGGAAUUACUGGGCGUAAAGAGUGUGUAGGCGGUGCUCUAAGUCUGUUGUGAAAUCUCCCGGCUUAACCGGGAGGGUGCGGCGGAAACUGGAGUGCUUGAGGGUGGGAGAGGUAAGCGGAAUUCCUGGUGUAGCGGUGAAAUGCGUAGAUAUCAGGAGGAACACCUGUGGUGUAGACAGCUUACUGGACCACUUCUGACGCUGAGACACGAAAGCGUGGGUAGCAAACAGG
rnacentral:rRNA from 1 species